UUUGAUCCGGCAGCUACAAGCAUGAAAUCUUUAAAGGAUUUUAAACAAGUAAUUUCCUUGUCUAAUUGCUUGCCAACGAAAAGCAAAUUCAACUUUUCGCAGUCAUAUGUUUGAAAUGUGUUUCCCACCGACGUUGUUACCAAAAAAUGGGUUCCACGAGCCUCAAUGUCGAAAGGUACUGCAUUGGAAACGUGACCGAUGGAUCUAAAGGCUAAAAAUACAGUUAGCAAUCUGUUCAUUCCAAAAGAAAAAGAGAGAAUUUUGACUUACGAGCAUAGAUCCUAGAUUUUCUUAGAGGCUUCACCGCAUUUUCAUAAGUCCUCCGUUUCUUCUCUGCAAAUGGCAUUUUAUCACAGGAAAGAACACAAAUAGCACGUAAAAUGGCAAAGGAUGGCUCUUGUCCUGUAACUUGCAAAAAGCAGUGUUUGUGAAAUUCUAGCAACCCUUUACGACCUACAGUAAUAAUCGUUAAUUU